rnacentral:lncRNA from 1 species
UCAUUUUGAACCUAUCAUUUUCAGUUCCAACUAUGCAUACAUAUCGAGGAACAUUUAAAAUGGAUUUGGGUGUAGUCAUUCUAAUAGGUUUUAGAUUAUGAAAUUUAAAGGGUUGAUAUUUACCUCUAUUUCUUGAACAACAGAGUCUGAAGUGUCAGUUGUAACUAGUUCUGUUUCAGUGGCAGCUGAAGCAAAAAGCUUAUGGAUAUUUCUUGUUGGUUUGGUUUUGUAACUAAGAAUGGAAGAUGAAACCGUGUUGUUUACAGAGAAUGAAUAUAUGAAGGAUUUAACGGAGGGAUUGUGGGAAGGUAAAGAAGGGAUAUGAACACUGGUUUUCAAGCUAGAUUGAACUGACAUUGUUAACAUGCUUUCUUCUGUGAGAGAUAACAGAAAUGGUGGCCUUAGAACUGUGUAGAUUUGAGAUGAUAACAGAAUGGAUAAGGUAGUAGAAGAACUGAAAG